UUGUCUUUUAAAUAAAGACUAGUAUGAACGGCUAAAUGAGGACAGAUCUGUCUCUUACAAUUGACCAGUGAAACUGAUCUUCAAGUCCAAAAGCUUGAAUGAACACAUAAGACGAGAAGACCCUGUGGAGCUUCAAACCCACACUAUAAUUAACCAAAUAGCACCGGUUUUAAGUUGGGGCGACUUCGGAAUACAACCUAACUUCCGAGCACAGGGCCAUCACACCCUCACCAAGACCGACAGGUCAAAGAAAAAUCCGACCCAGUCACACUGACCAACGAACCAAGUUACCCCAGGGAUAACAGCGCUAUCUUCUUCAAGAGUCCCUAUCGACAAGAAGGUUUACGACCUCGAUGUUGGAUCAGGACACCCAAAUGGUGCAGCAACUAUUAAAGGUUCGUUUGUUCAACGAUU
rnacentral:rRNA from 1 species